GAGUUUGAUUCUGGCUCAGAACGAACGCUGGCGGCAGGCCUAACACAUGCAAGUCGAGCGCUUGUCUUCGGACAGGAGCGGCGGACGGGUGAGUAACGCGUGGGAACGUGCCCUAAGGUACGGGACAACAGUUGGAAACGACCGCUAAUACCGUAUGAUGUCUUCGGACCAAAGAUUUAUCGCCUUAGGAUCGGCCCGCGUUGGAUUAGCUAGAUGGUGGGGUAAUGGCCUACCAUGGCGACGAUCCAUAGCUGGUUUGAGAGGAUGAUCAGCCACACUGGGACUGAGACACGGCCCAGACUCCUACGGGAGGCAGCAGUGGGGAAUCUUGGACAAUGGGGGCAACCCUGAUCCAGCCAUGCCGCGUGAGUGAUGAAGGCCUUAGGGUUGUAAAACUCUUUCAGCGGGGACGAUAAUGACGGUACCCGCAGAAGAAGCCCCGGCUAACUCCGUGCCAGCAGCCGCGGUAAUACGGAGGGGGCUAGCGUUGUUCGGAAUUACUGGGCGUAAAGCGCGCGUAGGCGGAUAUUCAAGUUGGGGGUGAAAGCCCGGA
rnacentral:rRNA from 1 species